rnacentral:lncRNA from 1 species
AAUUGGAUGAGGAAAUCUUUUCUCUGCUGGGGAAGUCACUCCCAGCCAGUAAGCCCUGGGGUUUCCAAGAACCCUGCUGCUGAGAGAUGGGUGAGAGAGAGCAGGACGGGCUCAGGAGGAAUGCAGAUCUGGGCUGAGUCCAGUGUCCAGCAGGGGCAAAGAGCCCCUGUAAUGUGGCUCUGCUCCCAGGGUGGCAGUGAGUGUGGGUGAGCACAGCCAAGGAGCUCUGCCACUGCUGCUUAUCUGCACAGUCACAAAGAUGAUGAUGUGGUGUUCUCUUGCUUCCCACAUGCAGUGAGCGUGUAUGAUCCAGUGUUGCUGGCUCAGCGCAGGGCAUUUCAAGCUGUGAGGGCAGAAAGAAUACACAGGGAGCAGGAGAGGAGAAAGCAUAGAGUUAGAGUCAGGUUCCUGUCACAAGUUGAGCCGGUGAAUGUUGAAGAACUGAAACAACCAAAACCUCCAGAUCAGCCAAAGCCCUCUGCCAGUGCCAAGCAGCCCUCCAGAACGGUACACCAGAAGCAUU